rnacentral:rRNA from 1 species
AUACGUAGGGAGCGAGCGUUGUCCGGAAUUACUGGGUGUAAAGGGAGCGUAGGCGGGAGUGCAAGUCAGAUGUGAAAUACAUGGGCUCAACCCAUGGGCUGCAUUUGAAACUGCAUUUCUUGAGUGAAGUAGAGGUAAGCGGAAUUCCUGGUGUAGCGGUGAAAUGCGUAGAUAUCAGGAGGAACACCGGUGGCGGAGGCGGCUUACUGGGCUUUUACUGACGCUGAGGCUCGAAAGCGUGGGGAGCAAACAGGAUUAGAUACCCUGGUAGUCCACGCUGUAAACGAUGAUUACUAGGUGUGGGGGGACUGACCCCUUCCGUGCCGCAGUUAACACAAUAAGUGAUCCACCUGGGGAGUACGGCCGCAAGGUUGAAACUCAAAUGAAUUGACGGGG